rnacentral:rRNA from 1 species
CCUACGGGAGGCUGCAGUGAGGAAUAUUGGUCAAUGGACGAGAGUCUGAACCAGCCAAGUAGCGUGAAGGAUGACGGCCCUAUGGGUUGUACACUUCUUUUAUAUGGGAAUAAAAUGUGCCACGUGUGGGAUUUUGUAUGUACCAUAUGAAUAAGGAUCGGCUAACUCCGUGCCAGCAGCCGCGGUAAUACGGAGGAUGCGAGCGUUAUCCGGAUUUAUUGGGUUUAAAGGGAGCGUAGGUGGGUGGUUAAGUCAGUUGUGAAAAUUUACGGCUCAACCGUAAAAUUGCAUUUGAAACUGGGAGUCUGGAGUGCAGUAGAGGUGGGCGGAAUUCGUGGUGUAGCGGUGAAAUGCUUAGAUAUCACGAAGAACUCCGAUGGCGAAGGCAGCUCACUGGACUGCAACUGACGCUGAGGCUAGAAAGUGUGGGUAUCAAACAGGAUUAGAUACCCUUGUAGUC